CCCGUGGUUUAAUUGAAUCAGUUGAAAUUUACCAAAUAAAAGUUAAAUUGGUUCAUUGGAUUAUUAUAACAACGAUUUUAUUCUUCUUUGGAUUUUCAUUAACAUUGAAGUACACAUGCAUACACACAAGCAUACAUACAACAUUAUGCUCCAAAAUGGCAUUUAAACUCAUUGAGACCAACAACAAUUUUUUUACCUAUUACAUAGUGGUCAACAACAACAACUAAAACUUGAUCGCAUCUCAGCGCAACCGGUUUCAUAAACCUUAUAUACAUACAACCUACCUUAUAUAUACAACCAAAACCCGAAACCGCAUUAUUUUUUUUUCAUGUUGCACACCAGUCAAAUGAUUCGUUUUGUUAGGUUGCAACACAUGCCAAAAUUCAAUACUGGCAUAUCGCUAGAAUGAACUUUAAAAAUUGGUGGAAUGAGCAUCACUGUUUUAUAUAAUAACAAGCAAACAUAAUACGUGUUAUAAAUCCACUGUGAAAAUAAUAAUAAAAAAACUAAAUAUACCAGUAAACGUUUACAAAACAGCAUAAAGUUGGUGUGCGCGGGACGGAUACCACAACUAUCGCCAUAUAUAUCCAAUGAGCUACUAAAAAUCUAAACGCAAAAGUAACGAAUAUCGAACUAAAUAAAGGAAUAAAAAAACGGCAAAACGAAAACCUGUUGAAACUUCGAACGUAUACGCGGCUUACAAUAUUAUUCUGUUGACAUUUGACUGCAACAGCAUGACAGCAUAACACCAUAACACAUAAAGAGCGUUUUUUUGUGUUGUUUUAUUUAUAUAAUUUUUUAACCAAAGAUUGGUCAUUUUUUUUCAAAUUUUAUUUGCGAUUGAAAUGUUCAACGUCUCAAUAACAUUUUAUAAAUAUUUCGAACCAAAAUGUUCUGUUUAGUUGAUAAAAGUUAAUAACUAUUCUAUUUUGAACAUAAACACGAUUUGUUCUCUUUAUUUUGUUAAUUUUAUUUAGUUUUACUAAUAAUUUACCAUUAUUGAACCAAAUAUUAUUGCUGCUGUAUUCUGGUUUCAGUAAAUCGAAUUGUUGUCUAUUAUACGUACUUCGCUUGCAAUUAAUAGUCUUACGGUGCAUUAAUUUUAAGAGUGCUAACGCCAGUUUAAUUUUUGUGAUUUGAUGCAAUCAACGAAUGUUGUUUCAUAAAAAAGUUUUUAAAGCAGAAGAGUGCAGUGACUUGUGAAAAUUUUCUAGAGAAAUUCUUAUAAUUUUGAAGUGAAAAUGUAAGUUGAAGUUAGCUUAAGUGAAAUUCUGCACAUAAGGAUUAAUUAACCACGAACAACAAUUUAAACGAUAUUCUACUACCGACAGUUCCCCGACUCGAAUUUCAAUAAAAAUCUAGUAUACAAUCAACAAAAUGACAAACUGCCAUAAAACGGACCUUCGUCAAAUAGAUGGCUGCUACUUUACGUAACAAGAAAUAUCAUACAGCGGUCUUCCGAAACGAACGUAUAAAGAAACACGUUUUACGAGAGCCUUGUAAGUUAUAUUUU